GGGGAUUAGUGGCGAACGGGUGAGUAACACGUGGGCAAUCUGCCCUGCACUCUGGGACAAGCCCUGGAAACGGGGUCUAAUACCGGAUACGACCACUGAGGGCAUCCUCGGUGGUGGAAAGCUCCGGCGGUGCAGGAUGAGCCCGCGGCCUAUCAGCUUGUUGGUGGGGUGAUGGCCUACCAAGGCGACGACGGGUAGCCGGCCUGAGAGGGCGACCGGCCACACUGGGACUGAGACACGGCCCAGACUCCUACGGGAGGCAGCAGUGGGGAAUAUUGCACAAUGGGCGAAAGCCUGAUGCAGCGACGCCGCGUGAGGGAUGACGGCCUUCGGGUUGUAAACCUCUUUCAGCAGGGAAGAAGCGAAAGUGACGGUACCUGCAGAAGAAGCGCCGGCUAACUACGUGCCAGCAGCCGCGGUAAUACGUAGGGCGCGAGCGUUGUCCGGAAUUAUUGGGCGUAAAGAGCUCGUAGGCGGCUUGUCACGUCGGUUGUGAAAGCCCGGGGCUUAACCCCGGGUCUGCAGUCGAUACGGGCAGGCUAGAGUUCGGUAGGGGAGAUCGGAAUUCCUGGUGUAGCGGUGAAAUGCGCAGAUAUCAGGAGGAACACCGGUGGCGAAGGCGGAUCUCUGGGCCGAUACUGACGCUGAGGAGCGAAAGCGUGGGGAGCGAACAGGAUUAGAUACCCUGGUAGUCCACGCC
rnacentral:rRNA from 2 species